AUCUUUUUAGUUUAUUUUUAAAAUAUGAUUUUGAAGCAGUCAAGAAUAAAAAGAUG
rnacentral:tRNA from 1 species